CGACACAGCAGACCCUUCUCAGAAGGAGGUGAUCCGUGUUGAUUUGACAGAUCAAGUGGAGAUAGUGGACAAGUCAGAUAAAAAUAAGAGCAAGGAAAAGAAGAAAGCCACCAAGCGAAAGCCCAGUAAAGAGGCCCCAGUAUUGCUGGAUGAUCUUGACUUUGCUGCUGCACUGAGUGGCUUUCCAUCAGAUUCAGGCUUCAAGAAGAAGAAAACUGCCAAGACGGCUGCUUCUACACUGAGUGUGGAAUCCGCCAUUCCUGAAAGUGCAGAUGACUUAUCAGCUCGAACGACUCUCAUCAUCUGCCCGCU